rnacentral:snRNA from 1 species
UGAAGAAUGAAAAAUUACUGGCCUCUUGUGAGAACAUGAACUUUCACCUCGGAGCCCACCCCCUCCCAUCUAGAAAACAUUUUUGAGAUAAAGGCCUCCUGGAACAACCUCAAAAUGACAUUGCCAAAUGAUAAGACAUGACUCCUUAGUUACGUAGGUUCCUUGAUAGGACAUGACUCCUUAGUUACGUAGGUUCCUUGAUAGGACAUGACUCCUUAGUUACGUAGAAUCCUUUGGCAGAACCCCUUGUCCCUUGGCAGAACUCCCUAGUGAUGUAAACUUGUACUUUCCCUGCCCAGUUCUCCCCCCUUUGAGUUUUACUAUAUAAGCCUGUGAAAAAUUUUGGCUGG